rnacentral:rRNA from 1 species
UACGUAGGGUGCAAGCGUUGUCCGGAAUUAUUGGGCGUAAAGAGCUCGUAGGCGGUCAGUCGCGUCUGCUGUGAAAACUCGGGGCUUAACCCCGGGCCUGCAGUGGGUACGGGCUGACUAGAGUGCGGUAGGGGAGACUGGAAUUCCUGGUGUAGCGGUGAAAUGCGCAGAUAUCAGGAGGAACACCUGCGGUGUAGACGGCUUACUGGACGGUAACUGACGCUGAGGCACGAAAGCGUGGGUAGCAAACAGG